ensembl:lncRNA
GGGUGCGGCCUGUCAGUGGAGGGUGCGGCCUGUCAGUGGAGGGUGCGGCCUGUCAGUGGAGGGUGCGGCCUGUCAGUGGAGGGUGCAGCCUGUCAGUGGAGGGUGCAGCCUGUCAGUGGAGGGUGCGGCCUGUCAGUGGAGGGUGCGGCCUGUCAGUGGAGGGUGCGGCCUGUCAGUGGAGGGUGCGGCCUGUCAGUGGAGGGUGCGGCCUGUCAGUGGAGGGUGCAAUACAACGCAAAAAAAAUCUAACCUGUUCCAAAUAAAUAAUUGAUGGAUUGCGGCAGGAUGAUAUUUCGCAAUAUUAUGUGAACAGCGUCAUGAAACAAAACGUGUGCUCGUAUUUAAUUUUUCGUCCAUGUUAUUGAGAAAGGGCUUUUAGCCAAAUGGUAAGUCGACUCAUAUUGAGUGUGUAAAGUAAUCUAUGGCAAGUCAAAGGAAGGGAUGGAUAGGGUUAGAGCUGUACACAAGGUUCAGAUGUAAGCAUAGCAGGCUAACCAUGUUCUCACACUGAUCCUCACCUAGCAUAGCAGGCUAACCAUGUUCUCACACUGAUCCUCACCUAGCAUAGCAGGCUAACCAUGUUCUCACACUGAUCCUCACCUAGCAUAGCAGGCUAACCAUGUUCUCACACUGAUCCUCACCUAGCAUAGCAGGCUAACCAUGUUCUCACACUGAUCCUCACCUAGCAUAGCAGGCUAACCAUGGUCUCACACGGAUCCUCACCCAGCCAUACAUGAAUGUGUAAAAAUGGACAACCAGCAGCAUUCCAGUUCGCUGGGCAUUACCUCACUAGCAUAGAGGUGGUUAGAUACAGGACACUACCAUAGAGGUGGUUAGAUACAGGACACUACCAUAGAGGUGGUUAGAUACAGGACACUACCAUAGAGGUGGUUAGAUACAGGACACUACCAUAGAGGUGGUUAGAUAAGGACAAUACCAUAGAGGUGGUUAGAUAAGGACAAUACCAUAGAGGUGGUUAGAUAAGGACAAUACCAUAGAGGUGGUUAGAUAAGGACACUGCCAUAGAGGUUGUCAGAUACAGGACACUACCAUAGAGGUGGUUAGAUACAGGACACUGCCAUAGAGGUUGUCAGAUACAGGACACUACCAUAGAGGUGGUUAGAUACAGGACACUAGCAUAGAGGUGGUUAGAUACAGGACACUACCAUAGAGGUGGUUAGAUACAGGACACUAGCAUAGAGGUGGUUAGAUACAGGACACUAGCAUAGAGGUGGUUAGAUACAGGACACUACCAUAGAGGUGGUUAGAUACAGGACACUAGCAUAGAGGUGGUUAGAUACAGGACACUACCAUAGAGGUGGUUAGAUAAGGACACUACCAUAGAGGUGGUUAGAUACAGGACACUACCAUAGAGGUGGUUAGAUAAGGACAUUAGUGUAGAGGUGGUUAGAUACACGACACUGUCUUUAGGGUGCUUGGAGUGCAGUAGGCCCUAACGAUAGACACUUGAACCUCAACUUUGAUGUGCAGAAGUAAUAUGAUCCACUGUAUAAGCCAACAACAACAACAACAACAACAUGCUUCUGUGUCAUUGUAUUCUUUGACUCAACUCAAGGAUAUGUAACAUAUUAUUGGAGAGGUAAACCUUCUCAUGUGAUGUACAGUUGUAUUUUAAUACACAGAAUCAGCACUACAGUCCCAGGAACAGGACGUGAACCAUCCAAAUCUCUUGUUGUGUACAUUACAGAGUGACGUUACUUAGCAUUCGGUAGUAGUUCUUUAAACAGACACCAGCUUGGUUAACUUAGUGUAAUGAACAACAGUCUAAGGUCUGUGUCCCAAAUGGCACUCUAUCCCCUGCAGUAUGUAGUGCACUAUGGGCCCUGGGCAAAAGUAGUGCACUAUACCCUCUUAGAAUUAGUGGUGACUUGAGGAACCCUGGAGAUCUUCAAGGAACAAUUGGACAUCCUCAAGGAACUCCUGGAGAUCCUCAAAAAAAACCUGCAGAUCCUCAAGGAACCCCUGCAGAUCCUCAAGGAACCCUUGUUGAUCCUCAAGGAACCCCUGUUGAUCCUCAAGGAACCCCUGCAGAUCCUCAAGGAAACCCUGCAGAUCCUCAAGGAACCCCUGUUGAUCCUCAAGGAACCCCUGCUGAUCCUCAAGGAACCCCUGCUGAUCCUCAAGGAACCCCUGCUGAUCCUCAAGGAACCCCUGCUGAUCCUCAAGGAACCCCUGCUGAUUGUUCAGGAACCCCUGUUGAUCCUCAAGGAACCCCUGUUGAUCCUCAAGGAACCCCUGUUGAUCCUCAAGGAACCCCUGGUGCUCAUCAAGGAACCCCUGGUGCUCAUCAAGGAACCCCUGCAGAUCCUCAAGGAACCCCUGCAGAUCCUAAAGGAACCCCUGGAGCUCAUUAAGGAACCCCUGGAGCUCAUUAAGGAACCCCUGGAGCUCAUUAAGGAACCCCUGGAGCUCCUCAAGGAACCCCUGUUGAUCCCCUAUACCUGGUCUGGCUGGUCCCCUAUACCUGAUCUGACUGGUCCCCCAUACCUGGUCUGACUGUUCCCCCAUACCUGGUCUGACUGGUCCCCUAUACCUGGUCUGACUGGUCCCCUAUACCUGGUCAGGCUGGUCCCCUAUACCUGGUCCC